UACGAAGGGGGCUAGCGUUGCUCGGAAUCACUGGGCGUAAAGCGCACGUAGGCGGAUUGUUAAGUCAGGGGUGAAAUCCUGGAGCUCAACUCCAGAACUGCCUUUGAUACUGGAGAGCUUGAGUCCGGGAGAGGUGAGUGGAACUCCGAGUGUAGAGGUGAAAUUCGUAGAUAUUCGGAAGAACACCAGUGGCGAAGGCGGCUCACUGGCCCGGUACUGACGCUGAUGUGCGAAAGCGUGGGGAGCAAACAGGG
rnacentral:rRNA from 1 species